GGGCGCAUAGCUCAGCGGUAGAGCACUACCUUGACAUGGUAGGGGUCCCAGGUUCGAUCCCUGGUGCGCCCACCA
rnacentral:tRNA from 1 species